AUUGAACGCUGGCGGCAGGCUUAACACAUGCAAGUCGCGCGAGCGGCGGAAGGGUGAGUCAUGUCUGGGAAACUGCCUGAUGGAGGGGGAUAACUACUGGAAACGGUAGCUAAUACCGCAUACCAUCAGAUGUGCCCAGAUGGGAUUAGAUAGUAGGUGGGGUAAUGGCGCACCUAGGCGACGCUCCCUAGCUGGUCUGAGAGGAUGACCAGCCAUAAUGGAACUGUGACACGGUCCAGACUCCGACGGUAGGCAGCAGUGGGUAAUAUUGCACAAUGGGCGAAAGACUGAUGCAGCCAUGCCGCUUGUGUGAAGAAGGCCUUCGGGUUGUAAAGCACUUUCAGCGAGGAGGCGUUACUCGCAGAAGAAGCACCGGCUAACUCCGUGCCAGCCGCCGCGGUAAUAC
rnacentral:rRNA from 1 species